ACCAGACUCCUACGGGAGGCAGCAGUAGGGAAUAUUGCACAAUGGGGGGAACCCUGAUGCAGCGACGCCGCGUGAGUGAAGAAGUAUUUCGGUAUGUAAAGCUCUGUCAGCAGGGAAGAAGAAAGACGGUACCUGACCAAGAAGCCCCGGCUAACUACGUGCCAGCAGCCGCGGUAAUACGUAGGGGGCAAGCGUUAUCCGGAUUUACUGGGUGUAAAGGGAGCGUAGACGGCAGUGCAAGUCUGGAGUGAAGGGCGGGGGCUCAACCCCCGGACUGCUCUGGAAACUGUACGGCUGGAGUGCAGGAGAGGUAAGUGGAAUUCCUAGUGUAGCGGUGAGAUGCGUAGAUAUUAGGAGGAACACCAGUGGCGAAGGCGGCUUACUGGACUGUAACUGACGUUGAGGCUCGAAAGCGUGGGGAGCAAACAGGAUUAGAUACCCCCGUACAU
rnacentral:rRNA from 1 species